rnacentral:rRNA from 1 species
AACGAACGCUGGCGGCAUGCCUAACACAUGCAAGUCGAACGAGACCUUCGGGCCUAGUGGCGCACGGGUGCGUAACGCGUGGGAACCUGCCUUUAGGUUCGGAAUAACUCCCCGAAAGGGGUGCUAAUACCGAAUAAUGUCUUCGGACCAAAGAUUUAUCGCCUUUAGAUGGGCCCGCGUAGGAUUAGCUAGUUGGUGGGGUAAAGGCCUACCAAGGCGACGAUCCUUAGCUGGUCUGAGAGGAUGAUCAGCCACACUGGGACUGAGACACGGCCCAGACUCCUACGGGAGGCAGCAGUGGGGAAUAUUAGACAAUGGGCGAAAGCCUGAUCCAGCAAUGCCGCGUGAGUGAUGAAGGCCUUAGGGUUGUAAAGCUCUUUUACCAGGGAUGAUAAUGACAGUACCUGGAGAAUAAGCUCCGGCUAACUCCGUGCCAGCCGCCGCAGUAA